CCCGUCUUCUUGUUUUCGAAACCCCACUUCAUUAGAGAUUGAGUUUGAAACCUUCAUUUACAUCUAGUAAUUUAGUACUUGUUCUACUUGUUCUUGCUGGUUCUUCGAUUGCUUGCAGGACGAGUGCCCUAGUGGCCGGGUGUUGCGCUCCACAAGAUCGUGACAGCCAUUGGAGGCGGUGUAUCGGUUGCUAAGGCGCGGUCUUGAGGGCUGUAGUCUGGCCGUGAACGUCAUCUCCAUUCACUAAUCGAGUUAUCCAGCGCCUCUCAUCAAAAGAUCAGGCGAAAACCAUAGUGGGUUCACAUCAGUUGGUAUCAGAGCAAGGUUUAUCGGUGAGAGAUUUCCAAUUCUUCGUGUUUGUUUUUCCUAUAGUCCAAAAAAAGACAAAAAAUAUAGCAGAUUUGUUUUCCAUAAUCCUAUAAAUCCUUUGUGCCGUGGCUAGUACCGUUUUAGUUAGGGCUUGUUGAAUUUGUGUUGGCUCGGUUUGUGUCGAGUUGCUGGUCUUAGUGUCUAGUCCUUUAGAGUUUCGAGUUCUUGUCACCAUCUAUACACAGCCGAGUAUUACCAUAUCUUCUCUCUGUCGAAUCUGUUGCAAAGUCCAAAUUGAACUGUGGUCUUGGUCCGGAUCGAGUAGAGUUCCAAUCUGAGUUCAAAAAGAAAGAUAACUCCAUACUUGUUCGGUCUUACUCUAGAGAGAGAGAGAGAGAGUGUGUAGCGAAUUAGUGUGUGUAGCGAAUUGCUCUUUUGUAUUCUUUUGUUCAUAUAAUCAGUUUUUGAUGUUGCCCAAAAAAAAAGAAAAAAAAGAAAAAAAAGAAAAGAGAAAAGAUUCAAAAGAAAAAAAAGGGGUUGUUUUUAAUAUUGAUUUUAGGUUUGUUCCACCUUGUUUUCGGGGGUGUGCUGUGGUUUUCCUUUGUGUCCAGGCUCGCGUCUCUAGCACGGUCUAGCCUAGGACCAGCACAGUACCAUCGUCGAACGCUUAUUCAGCUCGCUUUUAUAACUAACGUGGUGCUAGUUCGUUCCUUGUUUCAGCCCACCUAUAGCUCCACAUACUCUACAGCUUGACAGGUCUUGUGCUGCAGCACCGAUACACUUCGUCCAUUGCUGUACACUUGUUGGCAGACGACCCCUCCUGUCAAGCAAGGUAAGAAUUGGUAAGAACUUGUGUUACAGGUUGAGUGUGAGCGACUUGCUGUAGCUACAUCCUAGUAGUUGUAGGGCUUUUAUUUCUUCACUUGCCUUUUUGUUGUCUUUGUCUUUGAACCAUGCCAGGGGCAGAUGAUGGUAACGAAACACCACAUACACCUCGCACUAAGGGCAUCAUACAACAUUUUGAAAGGAAAGUGAAGCUGCACACAGAGGGACUUGAUAACCACUUGCAGGUGACAAAUGAAAAGCUGGGGCAGUUGGAGGCUACGCAGAUUGCCACAAACAACAAGCUCACAAGUUUGGAGGAAUCCGUUGCUAGUGUGGACAAAAGCCUUGCUGCUCUCCUAAGGCGAUUUGAUGAUUUCCACACCGAAGAUAAAGAGAAGCAUAAAGAAGAAAAGGAG
rnacentral:lncRNA from 1 species